GCCGGGUGUGGUGGGGGGCGCCUGUAGUCCCAGCUACUUGGGAGGCUGAGGUGGGAGGAUCACUUGAGCCUGCGAGGUCGGGGCUGCAGUGAGCCAAGAUUGUGCCACUGUACUUCAGCCUGGGCAACAGAGUGAGACCCUAUCUCUA
rfam:Homo sapiens chromosome 12, GRCh38 reference primary assembly.